AAACAUGUCUUUUUGAGUUGAUUUUAAAGUCUAACCUGCCCUCUGAAUAAUUUUUGAAUGGCCGCAGUAUUUUGACUGUGCAAAGGUAGCAUAAUCAUUAGUCUUUUAAUUGAAGGCUGGUAUGAAUGGUUGGACGAAGUAUAAGCUGUUUCAUAUAAAUUUAUUAUAGAAUUUUAUAUUUUAGUAAAAAAGCUAAAAUUUUAUUAAAAGACGAGAAGACCCUAUAAAUCUUUAUAUUUAAUUUUAUUUAAUUUUUUUUGAUUUAUUUAAUUUUAAUAAUAUUAAGUAUUUUGUUGGGGUGAUGUUAAAAUUUAAUUAACUUUUAAUUAAAAAAAUCAUUAAUUUAUGAUUCAUUGAUCCAAUAGUAUUGAUUAUAAGAUUAAGUUACUUUAGGGAUAACAGCGUAAUUUUUUUUAAGAGUUCAUAUCGACAAAAAAGUUUGCGACCUCGAUGUUGGAUUAAGGUAUAAUUUUGGGUGUAGCUGUUCAAAUGUUAAGUCUGUUCGACUUUUA
rnacentral:rRNA from 1 species